rnacentral:rRNA from 1 species
GUCCUUUUGUUUUAUAUUUAAGGUUUAACCUGCCCACUGAAUAAUUUAAAUGGCCGCAGUAUUUUAACUGUGCAAAGGUAGCAUAAUCAUUAGUUUUUUAAUUAAAAGCUUGUAUGAAAGGUUGGACGAGGUAAAAACUGUCUUUAUUUAAUUAAUUAUAAAAUUUAAUUUUUAAGUUAAAAAGCUUAAAUUUUUUUAAAAGACGAGAAGACCCUAUAGAUCUUUAUAUUUAUUAUUUUAUUUUUAAUUAAGAUUUAUUUAAAUUUUAUUAUAUUAAAUAUUUUAUUGGGGUAAUAAGAAGAUUUAUAAAAUUCUUUUAUAUAUUAUUCAUUGAUUAAUGUUUUGAUGAUCCAAUUUUAUUGAUUAUAAGAUUAAGUUACCUUAGGGAUAACAGCGUAAUUUUUUUAGAGAGUUCAUAUCGAUAAGAAAGUUUGCGACCUCGAUGUUGGAUUAAAGAUUAAUUUAGGUGUAGAAGUUUAAAUUUUUGGUCUGUUCGACCAUUAAAUCUUUACAUGAUCUGAGUUCAGACCGGUGUAAGCCAGGUCGGUUUCUAUCUUUAAUAAUAUAAUAUAUUUUAGUACGAAAGGACCAAAUAUAUAAUAUAUAAAUAUUUUUUAAUUUUUGAAUAUUAUUAAUUAUUUUGGCAGAUUAGUGCAAUGAAUUUAGAAUUCAUAUAUGUAAGUAUUUACAAAUAAUACUUGUUUUAUAUAGAUGUAACAUUUUCUUUUAUUUGUAUAUUAUUAUUAGUUAUUUGUGUAUUA